rnacentral:tRNA from 1 species
AGCAUCGGCCGGGAAUCGAACCCGGGCCGCUUGCGUGUCAGGCGAGCAUUCUACCACUGAACCACUGAUGC